rnacentral:misc_RNA from 1 species
UACGUAGGUGGCAAGCGUUGUCCGGAAUUAUUGGGCGUAAAGCGAGCGCAGGUGGUUUCUUAAGUCUGAUGUGAAAGCCCCCGGCUCAACCGGGGAGGGUCAUUGGAAACUGGGAGACUUGAGUGCAGAAGAGGAGAGUGGAAUUCCAGGUGUAGCGGUGAAAUGCGUAGAUAUGUGGAGGAACACCAGUGGCGAAGGCGGCUUUCUGGACUGUAACUGACGCUGAGGUGCGAAAGCGUGGGGAGCGAACAGG